rfam:Triticum aestivum genome assembly, contig: Triticum_aestivum_CS42_TGACv1_scaffold_073766_1DL
CUUGUACUCCCUCCGUCCGAAAAUACUUGUCAUUGAACUGGAUGUAUCUAGAUGUAUUUUAGUUCUAGACACAUCCAUUUUGAUGACAAGUUAUUCCGCACGGAGGGAGUACUUG